AGCGAACGCUGGCGGCAGGCUUAACACAUGCAAGUCGAACGGGCGUAGCAAUACGUCAGUGGCAGACGGGUGAGUAACGCGUGGGAACGUACCUUUUGGUUCGGAACAACCCAGGGAAACUUGGGCUAAUACCGGGAUAAGCCCUUACGGGGAAAGAUUUAUCGCCGAAAGAUCGGCCCGCGUCUGAUUAGCUAGUUGGUGAGGUAACGGCUCACCAAGGCGACGAUCAGUAGCUGGUCUGAGAGGANGAUCAGCCACAUUGGGACUGAGACACGGCCCAAACUCCUACGGGAGGCAGCAGUGGGGAAUAUUGCGCAAUGGACGAAAGUCUGACGCAGCAACGCCGCGUGAGGGAUGACGGCCUGG
rnacentral:rRNA from 1 species